rnacentral:rRNA from 1 species
UACAGAGGGUGCGAGCGUUGUCCGGAAUCACUGGGCGUAAAGGGCGCGUAGGCGGUGGCUUAAGCGUGCGGUGAAAGCCCGGGGCUCAACCCCGGGUCGGCCGUGCGAACUGGGCCACUGGAGCAGAUCAGAGGCAGGCGGAAUUCCGGGUGUAGCGGUGGAAUGCGUAGAGAUCCGGAAGAACACCGGUGGCGAAGGCGGCCUGCUGGGAUCUUGCUGACGCUGAGGCGCGACAGCGUGAGGAGCAAACAGG